rnacentral:rRNA from 1 species
UCUCCUGGAAAACGGGUGGUAAUGCCGGAUGCUCCAGUUGACCGCAUGGUCCUUUGGGAAAGCUUUUGCGGUAUGGGAUGGGGUCGCGUCCUAUCAGCUUGAUGGCGGGGUAACGGCCCACCAUGGCUUCGACGGGUAGCCGGCCUGAGAGGGCGACCGGCCACAUUGGGACUGAGAUACGGCCCAGACUCCUACGGGAGGCAGCAGUGGGGAAUAUUGCACAAUGGGCGCAAGCCUGAUGCAGCGACGCCGCGUGCGGGAUGACGGCCUUCGGGUUGUAAACCGCUUUUGACUGGGAGCAAGCCCUUCGGGGUGAGUGUACCUUUCGAAUAAGCACCGGCUAACUACGUGCCAGCAGCCGCGGUAAUACGUAGGGUGCAAGCGUUAUCCGGAAUUAUUGGGCGUAAAGGGCUCGUAGGCGGUUCGUCGCGUCCGGUGUGAAAGUCCAUCGCUUAACGGUGGAUCCGCGCCGGGUACGGGCGGGCUUGAGUGCGGUAGGGGAGACUGGAAUUCCCGGUGUAACGGUGGAAUGUGUAGAUAUCGAAAAAAAAAAACCAC